rnacentral:rRNA from 1 species
AUACGUCCUACGGGAGAAAGUGGGGACCGCAAGGCCUCACACUAUAGGGGCGGCCGAUGCCGGAUUAGCUAGUUGGUGAGGUAAGAGCUCACCAAGGCGACGAUCCGUAGCUGGUCUGAGAGGAUGAUCAGCCACACUGGGACUGAGACACGGCCCAGACUCCUACGGGAGGCAGCAGUGGGGAAUUUUGGACAAUGGGCGCAGAUCCAGCCAUGCCGCGUGAGUGAAGAAGGCCUUCGGGUUGUAAAUCGGCCGGGACGAAAUCGCUUCCGCUAAUACCGGGAGUGGAUGACGGUACCGGAAUAAGAAGCACCAAGCCGAAUUCCAGCACACUGGCGGCCGUUACUAGUGGAUCCGAGCUCGGUACCAAGCUUGGCGUAAUCAUGGCCUGUGUGAAAUU